rnacentral:rRNA from 1 species
GACGAACGCUGGCGGCGUGGAUUAGGCAUGCAAGUCGGACGGUAGGGCUUUAUCGUAAGAUAGAGUUUGAGAGUGGCGAACGGGUGAGUAACACGUAGGAAUCUACCCUUAAGACGGGGACAACCCAGGGAAACUUGGGCUAAUACCGGAUGAGAGUGCGAGAGAUCGCAUUUAAAAGGAUGGCGAAAGUUGUCGCUUAGGGAUGAGCCUGCGGUCUAUUAGUUAGUUGGUGAGGUAAGAGCUCACCAAGGCGAUGAUAGAUAGGCGGCCUUAACGGGUGGUCGCCCACACUGGGAUUGAGAUACGGCCCAGACUCCUACGGGAGGCAGCAGUCGAGAAUAGUCUACAAUGGCCGGAAGGCUGAUAGUGCGACGCCGCGUGAACGAGGGAGCCCUUCGGGUGUAAAGUUCUUUUCUAUACGAGCAGUGCUAUAUAUAUGGAUAGUAUAUAUAGAGGGAUAGUAGUAUAGGAAUAAGCAACGGCUAACUCCGUGCCAGCAGCCG